UACUUGACAUGAGCGUAAUCUAGGAGUCCGGGACCAAUACAGAGAAGAUUAGCAUGGCCCCGGAGCAAGGAUGACUGGCACAAAUCAAGAAGUAUUUUACUCAGAU
rfam:Punica granatum cultivar Dabenzi scaffold11, whole genome shotgun sequence.